UGGAUCGUCUGCAUCCUAGAGAUAGGGCUUUCCCCUUCGGGGGACAGAGUGACAGGUGGUGCAUGGUUGUCGUCAGCUCGUGUCGUGAGAUGUUGGGUUAAGUCCCGCAACGAGCGCAACCCUUGAUCUUAGUUGCCAGCAUUCAGUUGGGCACUCUAAGGUGACUGCCGGUGACAAACCGGAGGAAGGUGGGGAUGACGUCAAAUCAUCAUGCCCCUUAUGACCUGGGCUACACACGUGCUACAAUGGAUGGUACAAAGGGCUGCAAACCUGCGAAGGUAAGCGAAUCCCAUAAAGCCAUUCUCAGUUCGGAUUGCAGGCUGCAACUCGCCUGCAUGAAGCCGGAAUCGCUAGUAAUCGCGGAUCAGCAUGCCGCGGUGAAUACGUUCCCGGGUCUUGUACACACCGAA
rnacentral:rRNA from 1 species